rnacentral:ncRNA from 2 species
UACGAUUUUCAGGGCAGGGUGCGCCUCCUUCGUUGAAGGGGCAAUUCCCGACCGGCGGUGAUAGUCCGCGACCUUGGCGCCUUCCACGGCGGAUGCACAGCAUUCGACUGGCAAGACCAAACUGAACCGGUGGAAUUCCGGUACCGACGGUAUAGUCCGGAUGGGAGAAAAUCUGU